AGAGCGUUUUGAAGUUUCGCUAACGAUGCAAUUGUGAGUACGAAACACUCGUGCAAUUGAAACCCAAUAACGUAGGAAGUAGGGCCUCUCGCUUGCGGGAAGGCGGAACGGUGGCAAAGUUGUUUCCCGUCAAGCCGAACGUGCGUGCGGCUAAAAUGUCAGUAUGAGGAGUGUGUGAGAUGCCUUUCUCUUGUUCAGCUUCCGAUCCCCUCUGUGUCAUCAUCAUAGUCGCAGACACGGAUUAAAAACAUCAUUCUGUAAAGUCCACAACAGCGGUAUCGGCGUACUUGGAGCGCAACUCGGCCCUGCCAACUUGAAUUCUGGAAACUCGGAAGCUGGACGUUUGGAUUGAUUAUCCGUGCUCGAUGUUUUAAGGGUUAUCCGACCCGGGCACUGCCAUUGCGAAGAGAGCAGUGAGUCCAUUUCUCUAUGAACCAUGCCUAGCACGUGCUUUUAUGUGUCUCAAGGUUCAUCUCAGCAUACACUUACUGCUCUCGUCACUAUCACGGCGGCAUUCCUCCUCGCUGCCCCUUCCAAGUUUUUGACGAAGUUAAUCUGUCAUAAAUCCCGGGAAGUUUUUGUCGUUCCACGUUAUUUUCCCAAGGUCUCUAAGAACAAAACCAAUCAGUAUCAAAUGAGGCAAGCAAGACGAGAGCAGCGGCCCCACCUCAAGCAACGCUGUUGCCUAGUUUCACAAAUCUUCAGAUUCUGAGAUCUCUAAUCCUCUUGAUCCUUCGCCUUCACGUAGUUUAGGAAACAUAUAGAAAUACGAGGGUGGAUUUUAAAGUAGAUUUACCUACUUUAUAACUUAAAAAGGGCAAAGGGACAAAAGGGUAAUUGCAUGAUAAUGAGAUAAAGCACAAAAAUAUUAUCCGAAUAAUCGUAUAAAUACGGAGGGAAGUAAAACAUGGGUAAACAAGGCUGAAACAUUAAAAACACGAAAAAGCGGGACGUCUCGAGCUGUUACCAGCUCACUCUCAGCUAAAAGAAACACAAACAAAUUAAUAAAAAAAAUUCAAAAAUUAAAUAUAAAAUUAAUAAUUAAUAAUUUAAAUUAAAAAUUACUUAUAUUUUGAUCAAAAAUUAAAUUAAUAAUUUUUUCAUCAAUUGGUAUGUUUCUUUUGCAGUGGAAAAUGAGCCGGUAACAACUCGAAACGUCCUGCCUUUUUGUGUUUUUAUUAUUUUGGCCUUGUUUACCCAUGGUUUAAUUCCCUCCUUAUUUAUUCAUGAUAACAAGUGGGCUCAGGUCGUCUUUCCAUUUUAAUUAAUUUAGAUUGGUCGCUGCAAAUGGAGGUGAAGGAGAGGCGUGGAAACUUUACAGAAUGGCACAUGCUGUACGUUUUUUUUAUUUUUUUUAUUUUAAGGACAUUUUUCAGUUUUGGCUGCCUAUAACGAAAUCAAAUCAAAUACCGAGUUAUUAGCCGAUUUUCACCACAGUGAUAUAUAAAAACAAAGCGUCCUCUAGCAGAUUGUGUUUUGAUUAAAGCAUGACCUGAGUUCGCAUAUCACUGUAGUGAAAAUAGGCUAAUAGCUCAGUAUUUGAUUUGAUGGUAAUUUUUUAAGUUAUACAUACAAAAAUAUACAACAGUUGGACCUUUAGGUCGCUAUUUUCUUAUUCAUGCCUUUUGAAGUUUCAACCUUUUUGCCUUAUUUUAUCCGCGUUUUAAUUAUUUAUUUUGUUGCACUUAAGAACUACCUAUACGCAAGAGGAAAUUAUGAAACCAGCACCAAAUCGGACACACUUUCAGCUUUCAGACGAGAUCAUUUUUUUUCUUUUUCUGUUUUUGAAUUUUGUCAAAGCGUUACGGAGGAAUCGUUAAUUUACCACACCCCUGUUCUCCUCCAAACGCACUCCCCUUUCACGCGCUGUGAUAGAACAUCACACGAUCAGAAAAUGUCAGUCUUUUAAAAUGCAUGAAAAUGAUUUUUACUUGAUUGAAUAAAGACGUAAGUUACUAGUUUUUCGGCAUUGAAACGCUUUUCCCACUAAGGAAAAUUAAUGGCUGUGAUCCCGAAAGUAAAAGUGCACGUUCAAUAUGAACUCAUAAUUUAGCGGUAAUCGUAAUCAAUAGUGGUGGUAUUUUUACCAUUUAGCGAUCUUUCCUACUCUGUCGGCAAAUUCUUGCACUUUUUACCGCGGUGCAACAACCUAUGUACAAUUUCGUCUCAGAAUCCAUGCCCUUAGUGCUAUUGAAAUGCAUCGCGAUCCUUUCAAAUUUAACUCUAAAAGUAGCACAUUGGCUCAAAGCACAAACAUUUUUGUUCCGUGAAGAGUGUUAGAGGAAUUACCCGAUUCAGUUAAAAAAUUAGCAGUGACCCGAAAUAAAGGAAUUUCAUGGUUAUUGUAUUCUCUUAAGAAUAGAGCCUUUUUUGUGUAAUUUUCGAAUAAUGAACGCUUCAAAUGAAUUAAAAUUAUAUUCUCCUUUU